GAACUUCUUCAUUGGAAAAAAUCCUAAUAUCAUUUGUUCCUUCAGAUUAAUAUAUUGUUUUAGACAUAUUCGCUUGUAGUCAAGUCAAGGAUGAGGGCUGAGCAGAGGCGUGACAAACGAUGAACAGUUGGAAAAAAAAAAGGGGAAAAGGGACUGUGUUAUGAACAGUACAAGUAAACAGUACCCAUGAAUAGUGUGAACAGUGCUAAAGACCGCUUUAAUAAAUCGAAUGCUCUGAUACCAUGAUGAAAAAAACUGAUUUAAGGGAAUUUUCUGUGUAUUUCUUAAUGGUAAAAAUGAUAUCCAAGGCUCCUAUUUAUAUGCAAAGAAUCAGACCUAAAUAGGAAGCUAAUUACAAUAGG
rnacentral:misc_RNA from 1 species